rnacentral:rRNA from 1 species
GGACUACAAGGGUUUCUAAUCCCGUUCGCUCCCCUGGCUUUCGCCCCUCAGCGUCAGUUGCCUCCCAGGACCCUGCCUGCGCCUUUGGUGUUCCUCCGGAUCUCUACGCAUUUCACCACUCCACCCGGAAUUCCAGGUCCCUCUGAGGCCCUCGAGUCCUGCCGUCUUGCCGGCGCUCCCCCCGUUAAGCAGAGGGCUGGCACCGCCAACGCGCAGAACCGCCUGCGGGCGCUUUACGCCCAGUAACUCCGGACAACGCUCGCCCCCUACGUAUUACCGCGGCUGCUGGCAC